rnacentral:lncRNA from 1 species
CCUCUUCAUUUUCUCUCUCUAAAAUUCAGUUAGGGCUUCUUCAUAAAUCAUUAUAGUUAGGGCUUUCUUUCAAACAACAUCCCAAAUAAAAAAAACUCCCUUCAAACUAUCCCAAUCCCGCAUCCAUUUUCCUUUUCUCUCUCUCUAAAAAAUCAGGUUUGUGAAGCCGAUGACCUCUUCUUUCUUCUUUCUUCUCUCUAUAAACCUUAAUCUUCUUUCUUCUUUCUUUCUGUAAACCCUAAUGGCUAUGAGCUCAACCCUAUUUUCUUCUCUUCCUUCUUCUUUCUCCUCUCUCUAAACCGUAAACCCCAAUGGCUAUGAUCCCAGCCCUAUUGUUUUC